rnacentral:rRNA from 1 species
UACGUAGGGUGCAAGCGUUAAUCGGAAUUACUGGGCGUAAAGCGUGCGCAGGCGGCUUUGCAAGACAGAUGUGAAAUCCCCGGGCUUAACCUGGGAACUGCAUUUGUGACUGCAUGGCUAGAGUGCGGCAGAGGGGGAUGGAAUUCCGCGUGUAGCAGUGAAAUGCGUAGAUAUGCGGAGGAACACCGAUGGCGAAGGCGAUCCCCUGGGCCUGCACUGACGCUCACGCACGAAAGCGUGGUGAGCAAACAGG